GGUUUUUUCUUUGCUUUGCUGUAAGCACAAUUGUUUUAAUGUAUUGGGACUUUUCUCUUUCGUGUAUCUUCAAAGCCACGUGUUUAGAUGUGUUGUCCACCGCUACAACACCCAAUAGAAAUAACCAUGUUGUCACUCACUCAACAUCCAUCGAUCCAAUCCACCGCUUCUUUUUUACUUCCCUCCAUCACCUCUCACUUGAUCUUCCCUUCCUACUCACUCAUGUCGGCCUCUUCAAAUCGUCGCCUGAUCUCGACGAUCACACCUUCUCCUCCUCUAAUUAUGUUCUCAUCUUAGACGGUUCCUCCCCCUCCCUCCUACCUGUCCCCGUCCACGUCGUUACCGCCUCCAUCAAAGCUAAAGUCCCAAUCAUACCCUACUCCGAUUUCGCCUACAGUCAUGGCGAAUCAGAGAUGGCAGCGUUCAACUGCUGUUAGUUUGAUAUCUCUCAUCGGCUUCUUCUUCUCCUCCGGAUACAGACGACCCUUCCACCGUUACCGAUUCUAGUGCCAUUAUCCUCGAGCCAAUUGGGAUCUGCUUUCUUGGACUAGACGAAUGUAAUCUGUGUUUCCAGUGUUCCUGUUAGUCUGUCACCUGAGCUUUGGAAGGAAAACAACUGGAGGUGGGAAAUCAACUCUAAUCCAAGUUCUAACAUCUCCACCCUCAGGCUGUGUAUGUGGUAACAAUAUCCAGUCUCCAAAAGACCAAAAUACCCUCGCUAUAUACUUAAUGAAACAAAAAUUUAUAUACCAUGUAGGCAAAAUUUAAUUUCAUUUUUGAUGGAUUUCAAAUAUCCUAAUGGGAGGAAGAGGAUACAAUUUGAUUCUAUAUAAAAAGACGAAACUACCCUUAUCAUAUUUUCAUGUAUACUACAGAUAUGUUCCUUGCACUUGAUAAAGAUAUGAACUGAACACUGAGCAAGCAAGAGCUUCGAGAGUAUGCAGACGGGACACUCACAUAUAUUUUUAUCGAUAAGGCUUUUGAUGAGCAUGUGCGUAGGGGUAAAACGGGAAGAGGAAAUGCUCGGGAGAUGGACUUCGAGAGUUUUCUUGACUUUGCUCUAUCCCUUGAAAACAAAGGCACUCCAUAGGGAAUUACAUAUCAUUUCUGAUGUUUAGAUCUUAAUGGAAGAGGCUUCCUUACAAGAGUUGAUAUUCACACCCUUUGUAGGUUUCGUGUAGUUUGACAAUGGAACAACUGAAAACAUACCAGAGACGUAGAGACCAAACAAGAAAUGUUAUAAAAGGAGUGAAGUAUGUUUUGAGAUCAGCUAUUGUUACAUCUAAUAUUUUUAAAGCUAAUUUACUAUGUUUUUAACAUGAAGUUGUAAAUAAUUCAAAUCCAUGUUUUGCAUUUUAAUUUAUUAAUUUUUUACCAUCCAAUGUAAAAAGUAAAUUGAUUGCAGGCUAUGGUGGUGUGUUUUUGAUCAUACAACUGAAAAUAAGUGAUAAUUCGUUGUUCAAAGAUUUAGAGAGAUUUUUGUGCAUAUGGACCAGUGGUGUUAAACAUACUUGGGUUGGAUAUGACACAUGUUCUAUUUACUAUUUUGGGUUGUCAGUAGCUAAUUUCUUCAAAAGGCUAAAGAAACUAACUAUUCAAGUAUGGGUUAUUAAUGGUGUUAUAGUUACAUAAUUAACAAUUCAAUUAGAGAGCUAUAUCACUCCACUAAAAUUGUAUACAUUAAAGCUAUUUUGUUUGUUCUGUUAUGAGCCGUUUUGUAUUUAUUUUUUCAGAUUCUUGGUCAUUCACUUGGUAGUGGCACACCAAAGUAGAUUGUUAUUUGUUGCAUUUUCAUAUUUAAAUAUCAUAGUCCUUUACAAAGUUACUCAAUGAAAUCUUCAUGU